ACAGUUCAAUGCAUUGGUGCUAACUGGCUCCUGUGCCGGUGGCACAUAAAAAGCAGCAUUCGAACGUGGUCAUUGCUAGUGCUGCACGACUGGCU